GACGGAGGAUGCAAGUGUUAUCCGGAAUCACUGGGCGUAAAGCGUCUGUAGGUGGUUUAAAAAGUCUACUGUUAAAAAUUGAAGCUUAACUUCAAAGAUGCCGUAGAAACUUUUAAACUCGAGGAUGGUAGGGGUAGAGGGAAUUUCCAGUGGAGCGGUGAAAUGCGUAGAUCUUGGAAAGACCACCAAUGGCGAAGGCAGCUCGCUGGAACGGUACUGACGCUGAGGCGCGAAAGCGUGGGGAGCGAACAGG
rnacentral:rRNA from 1 species